ensembl:rRNA 5S_rRNA 5S ribosomal RNA
GUCUAUGGCCAUGCCACCCUGAACGCGCCCGAUUUUGUCUGAUCUCAGAAGCUAAGCAGGGUUGGGCCUGGUUAGUACUUGGAUGGGAGUACAAGGUGAGGAGAAUGGCUAGACU